UGAUGAUUGAAUCAUUCGAAGAUCAAAAAUUCCAAUCAAUUCGAUGGUGUGUGAUUUUUUUUCUAUCUAUCUUAAGGUGACACUGUGUACAAACAAUGUCACCUGUCUAUAAUGAACAUCAUGACAAACCAUAAUCUGCAAUAUUUUUUUUUUAUUUUUUGAUUCUGUUCAAUCAAAUUCAAACAUUUGAAUUUUCCGUCUUGGCGCCAUCAUUGUUUAUCAUCAUCAUCGAAAAAAAAUCACAUGGAAAAUAUUCUUUCUUAAAUAUUAUAUCACAUAAAAUUAGAACUCAUGACCUAAAAAUAUAAAUGACAAAAUACAAAACAAAUGAACAUUCGUCAUCAUCAUCGUCAUCGUCAUCAAUUCAUUCAUUCAUUCAUUUUGGUAACCGGGAAAAAAAUGCGUAAAAAACAAGUAUAACGACAACGGUAAAUAAUAAUGAUGAUGAUGAUGACUUUAAUGUACAUUUGUUUUUCUCCAUUUCGCACACACACACACAAAUAAUAUAAAAAAAUAUCGUGGUAACUCAGGAAAUUGCACAAUAUUCCAACUUGUAGUAGAUAUUUUUAUAAUCAAUGUGUAUUUUUUUUGUUCUCUACG